rnacentral:rRNA from 1 species
AGGAAAAGAAACUAACAAGGAUUCCCCUAGUAACUGCGAGUGAAGCGGGAAGAGCUCAAAUUUAAAAUCUGGCGUGCCUCUGGCCGUCCGAGUUGUAGUCUGGAGAAGCGUUUUCCGUGUUGGACCGUGUAUAAGUCUCUUGGAACAGGGCAUCGUAGAGGGUGAGAAUCCCGUCUUUGACACGGACUGCCAAUGCUUUGUGAUGCGCUCUCAAAGAGUCGAGUUGUUUGGGAAUGCAGCUCAAAAUGGGUGGUAAAUUCCAUCUAAAGCUAAAUAUAGGCGAGAGACCGAUAGCGAACAAGUACCGUGAGGGAAAGAUGAAAAGCACUUUGGAAAGAGAGUUAAACAGUACGUGAAAUUGCUGAAAGGGAAACGCUUGAAGUCAGUCGUGUCUGCCAGGACUCAGCCUUGCUUCUGCUUGGUGUACUUUCUGGUUGGAUGGGCCAACAUCAAUUUUGACCGUUGGAGAAAGGCUUUGGGAAUGUGGCACCUUCGGGUGUGUUAUAGCCCUUUGUCAUAUGCAGCGGUCGGGAUUGAGGACUGCAGCAUGCCUUUAUGGCCGGGGUUCGCUCACGUACAUGCUUAGGAUGUUGGCGUAAUGGCUUUAAGCGACCCGUCUUGAAACACGGACCA